AAAGAGGCAAACCCUGGGUUUCUGUGUCCAACUUUGACUGUCCGUCUUAUAUGAAAUUUUUUUAUAAUUCGUAUUUUCAUUAUUGUUAGAUGAUAAAACAUGAUUAAUAUUUUAUACGUGCCUUGUCUUAUUUUUUUCAUAAUUUUUUUAAAUAAGACGAACGGUCAAAUGUUGGACACGGAAACCAGGGUUUGUCUUUUU
rfam:Oryza barthii chromosome 5, whole genome shotgun sequence.